rnacentral:tRNA from 1 species
GCCACCGUAGCUCAGUUGGUUAGAGCGGCUGAUUCGUAAUCAGCAGGUCAUGAGUUCGACUCUCAUCGGUGGCU